GACGAGGGAUCCUAGCGUUGUUCGGAAUUAUUGGGCGUAAAGCGGGUGUAGGUGGCUUUAUAAGUCAGAUGUGAAAGCCCAGGGCUUAACCCUGGAAGGGCAUUUGAUACUAUUUAGCUUGAGUGUUGGAGAGGUUACUAGAAUUCCUGGUGUAGUGGUGAAAUACGUAGAUAUCAGGAGGAAUACCGGAGGCGAAGGCGGGUAACUGGCCAAACACUGACACUGAGACCCGAAAGCGUGGGGAUCAAACAGG
rnacentral:rRNA from 1 species